rnacentral:rRNA from 1 species
UACGUAGGGUGCAAGCGUUAAUCGGAAUUACUGGGCGUAAAGCGUGCGCAGGCGGUUAUGGAAGACAGAUGUGAAAUGCCCGGGCUUAACCUGGGAACUGCAUUUGGGACUGCAUGGCUAGAGUUUGGCAGAGGGGGGUAGAAUUCCACGUGUAGCAGUGAAAUGCGUAGAUAUGUGGAGGAACACCGAUGGCGAAGGCAGCCCCCUGGGUCAAGACUGACGCUCAUGCACGAAAGCGUGGGGAGCAAACCGG